UGCUUUCUAGGUAUAACCAGAAACAA
rnacentral:piRNA from 1 species